rnacentral:pre_miRNA from 13 species
CAGUUUUGAUCCGUAGAAACGAGCCUGUGGUGAAACUCCACAAGUUCGGAUCUACGGGUCGAUACUGU